CAAGGUUUUAUUCUUGAUCCAAGAAAGUACACAUAAAAAGUACAGAAAUCCUUCCUCAGCCAUCAGCAUUAGAAUUCACAAAGCUCUUGUAGUAGAAUAAUUCAUGGUUGAGGAAUAUGAGGGAACUGAGAAUUCACCUGAGGGCAGGUGUAUUUUUGAAAGUUCUUAAUAUAUAUUUAAACAUUCAGAUAAAUAAAACAGAAAGACUGGAAAAGAGAAUGUCAAAGACCUUAAAGUGGCAAUUAAAUAGCUCUUAAAAUAGUAAUAAUGAACACUGUACAAUACAUUUCAAUUUAUCUUUCGUGCAGAGAUGACUUCCUGGGAAGAUGCAUAGGUGAGAGAAGGGAAGGGAGGUGGAUUAGGAAGAUCCACGAUCAGUGCCCUUCUAUUCCAUCUCCUGGAUGUGCACAUUCUGAGGUCUGUUCUGGAAGGUCAAUCUCCUGGUUUUGGCUGUAGCAGUAUACUUGUGGCCCUCCAAUAGCAGAAAUGGUGCUGAGUGAAGGACUUGAGGCUCUUGAGUGAGCUUCUCCUUCUUUGGGAAGCAAAUAUACUAGGCAGGCCAGUAGUCUAUUGAAAAGAUUGCUUUGCUCCUCUUUAUGGGUUAUACACAACCCUUCAAACUAAAUCUGUUUUGGGUUUGGCUUUUACAUGUGUUCAAAGUGGUGUCUUUAAGUGCGAAGUUUUAGUCAAUUGGUUUCUUUGGGAGGUUUUGCUUCCUUCCUGUAUUCUUUGUUAAAUGCAGCCCACCUGCUUUGCUAGUCAGUGGGAAGGGCUGGGUGAUGGGCAGAUGCCUCUCUGACACAAGGGCCUCCCUGUGCACAGUCUGUAUGCCGUUACCAUAAGUCAGCAGGUUGAAGAGAUAAAGGAAGUCAAUUAAAGCCCUUUUAUCAGAAAGUCACUUCCAGCACUUGUGAAAUCAUAAUAGAGCUUUUUUUCUUUUCCAGCACUAUGUAUCAAGCCCUCUUCUAAAUGUUUUCAUGCUUUAUCUCAUUUAAUUUUUAUAUCCACUGCACAAGGCAGUAAUGGCUAUUAUCUCAAUUUUGCAUGGGAUAAAGGGUAAUAGCAGAGAGGAACAGUAACUUGCCCACAAACAUAUGCUAAGUAGCAGAUUUGGGCUUGUGUGUAGCAUUCUCAUUCGAAGCCCUUCCCUUUAAUCCGCCUCUCAGGCUGCCUCCUUAUGUUUCAUCAUUGAAUGCAUUAUUAUCCUCCUCAAGAUCACAAACCUCACCCCUGAUCUUACUCCCCCAGUCACUGCCCAGUAGCGGCAUCUCAGGAGCAUUACUAUUUAAUUACUUCGCAAAGCUACCAAAACCCUAGAGAGUACUGCACAGUUAUCUGUAUUCAUGAGAAAGCCCCAAAAUAACCUCUGGUCUAGGGAGAAAUCUACAAAAGAAUGAGAGGAGAGACAAGGAGAUUGAGGAUCAAAGAAGUUCAGCUCACCCAAAGCCAUAACUAACUAGUAAGUGGCAGAGCCAGGAUUCAAACUCUGUGCUUCCUUUUUGGAGGAGA
rnacentral:lncRNA from 10 species